GACGUAGGGCGCGAGCGUUGUCCGGAUUUAUUGGGCGUAAAGAGCUCGUAGGCGGCUUGUCGCGUCGUCCGUGAAAACCUGCAGCUCAACUGCAGGCUUGCGGUCGAUACGGGCAGGCUAGAGUUCGGUAGGGGAGACUGGAAUUCCUGGUGUAGCGGUGAAAUGCGCAGAUAUCAGGAGGAACACCGAUGGCGAAGGCAGGUCUCUGGGCCGCUACUGACGCUGAGAAGCGAAAGCAUGGGGAGCGAACAGG
rnacentral:rRNA from 1 species